rnacentral:rRNA from 1 species
CCUACGGGUGGCUGCAGUGGGGAAUAUUGGACAAUGGGGGGAACCCUGAUCCAGCCAUGUCGCGUGUGUGAAGAAGGCCCUCGGGUUGUAAAGCACUUUCAGUGAGGAAGAACGCCUGGUGGUUAAUACCCAUCAGGAAAGACAUCACUCACAGAAGAAGCACCGGCUAACUCCGUGCCAGCAGCCGCGGUAAUACGGAGGGUGCGAGCGUUAAUCGGAAUUACUGGGCGUAAAGCGCGCGUAGGUGGCUUGAUAAGCCGGUUGUGAAAGCCCCGGGCUCAACCUGGGAACGGCAUCCGGAACUGUCAAGCUAGAGUGCAGGAGAGGAAGGUAGAAUUCCCGGUGUAGCGGUGAAAUGCGUAGAGAUCGGGAGGAAUACCAGUGGCGAAGGCGGCCUUCUGGACUGACACUGACACUGAGGUGCGAAAGCGUGGGUAGCAAACAGGAUUAGAUACCCCUGUAGUC